GACGAACGCUGGCGGCGUGCUUAACACAUGCAAGUCGAACGGAAAGGCCCUGCUUUUGUGGCGUGCUCGAGUGGCGCACGGGUGAGUAACACCUGAGUAACCUGCCCUUGACUUUGGGAUAACUUCAGGAAACUGGGGCUAAUACCGGAUAGGAGCUCCUGCUGCAUGUUGGGGGUUGGAGAGUUUCGGCGGUUGUGGCUGGACUCGCGGCUUAUCAGCUUGUUGGUGGGGUAGUGGCUUACCAAGGCUUUGACGGGUAGCCUGCCUGAGAGGGUUACCGGCGACAUGGGGCCUGAGAUAGGGCGCAGACUGGUACGGUCGGCAGUGGUGGGGAGCAUUGCACAAUGGGCGGAAGCCAGAGGCAGCAGCGCUGCGUUCGGAAUGACGGCUUUCGGGGUGUAAACCGCUGUCGCAUGUGACGAAGCGGGAGUGACGGUAACGGGUAAGGAAGCAACGGCUAACUACGUG
rnacentral:rRNA from 1 species